GGGCGUAAGCCCGUUGAUAACAGUUGUCAGGGUCAUCACCUUGUCUCUUUUCACCCCGUGUCAAAUUUCAGGAAUGUGCAAUAUCAGAGUGAUUGAAGAGUCGCAGUGAAUGAAAGAAACAAUGUAAAAUCCUUCGUCAAGUCAGCCAGGGUACGGCUCAUUUUUUGAGCAAAGAGCAGUACGG
ensembl:ncRNA T09A5.16 ncRNA